CUACGGGGGGCAGCAGUGAGGAAUAUUGCACAAUGGGGGGAACCCUGAUGCAGCAACGCCGCGUGGAGGAUGACGCAUUUCGGUGUGUAAACUCCUUUUAUAUGUCAAGAAAAUGACGGUAGCAUAUGAAUAAGCACCGGCUAACUCCGUGCCAGCAGCCGCGGUAAUACGGAGGGUGCAAGCGUUACUCGGAAUCACUGGGCGUAAAGGACGCGUAGGCGGGUUGGAAAGUCAGGUGUGAAAUCCUACAGCUUAACUGUAGAACUGCACUUGAAACUCUCAACCUAGAGUAUGGGAGGGGCAGAUGGAAUUAGUGGUGUAGGGGUAAAAUCCGUAGAUAUCACUAGGAAUACCUAAAGCGAAGGCGAUCUGCUGGAACAUUACUGACGCUAAGGCGUGAAAGCGUGGGGAGCAAACAGGAUUAGAUACCCGCGUAGUC
rnacentral:rRNA from 1 species